UACAUGUGGGGCAAGCGUUGUUCGGAAUUACUGGGCCUAAAGGGUGCGUAGGUGGUUUGUUAAGUCACGGGUGAAAGUUUUCGGCCCAACCGGAAAAUUGCCCGUGAUACUGGCGAACUUGAGUGCGUGAGGGGUUACCGGAACGAGCAGUGUAGCGGUGAAAUGCGUAGAUAUCAGGAGGAACACCUGUGGUGUAGACAGCUUACUGGACCACUUCUGACGCUGAGACACGAAAGCGUGGGUAGCAAACAGG
rnacentral:rRNA from 1 species